rnacentral:rRNA from 1 species
GACGAACGCUGGCGGCGUGCUUAACACAUGCAAGUCGAACGGAAAGGCCCUGCUUUUGUGGGGUGCUCGAGUGGCGAACGGGUGAGUAACACGUGAGUAACCUGCCCUUGACUUUGGGAUAACUUCAGGAAACUGGGGCUAAUACCGGAUAGGAGCUCCUGCUGCAUGGUGGGGGUUGGAAAGUUUCGGCGGUCGGGGAUGGACUCGCGGCUUAUCAGCUUGUUGGUGGGGUAGUGGCUUACCAAGGCUUUGACGGGUAGCCGGCCUGAGAGGGUGACCGGCCACAUUGGGACUGAGAUACGGCCCAGACUCCUACGGGAGGCAGCAGUGGGGAAUAUUGCACAAUGGGCGGAAGCCUGAUGCAGCAACGCCGCGUGCGGGAUGACGGCCUUCGGGUUGUAAACCGCUUUCGCCUGUGACGAAGCGUGAGUGGCGGUAAUGGGUAAAGAAGCACCGGCUAACUACGUG